rnacentral:rRNA from 1 species
UACAGGGGGUGCAAACGUUGCUCGGAAUCAUUGGGCGUAAAGCGCACGUAGGCGGUUCGUUAUGUCGGAUGUGAAAGCCCUUGGCUUAACCGAGGAAGUGCAUCCGAAACUGGCGAGCUAGAGUACUAAAGAGGAUCGCGGAAUUCCCGGUGUAGAGGUGAAAUUCGUAGAUAUCGGGAGGAACACCGGUGGCGAAGGCGGCGAUCUGGGUAGAUACUGACGCUGAGGCACGAAGGCUAGGGGAGCAAACGGG